UCUUAUGAAUGAGCAAAGACAGUGGUCUCUCGAGAUGGAAUCUACUUCCUGGUGAAGAUACUGAGAA
rnacentral:pre_miRNA from 1 species